rnacentral:rRNA from 1 species
CGAACGAACCCCUUGUGGGUGAGUGGCGCACGGGUGCGUAACACGUGGGAACCUACCCUUCGGUACGGAAUAACCAUUGGAAACGAUGGCUAAUACCGUAUAGUCCCUUCGGGGUAAAGAUUUAUCGCCGUUGGAUGGGCCCGCGUCUGAUUAGCUUGUUGGUAAGGUAACGGCUUACCAAGGCAACGAUCAGUAGCUGGUCUGAGAGGAUGAUCAGCCACACUGGGACUGAGACACGGCCCAGACUCCUACGGGAGGCAGCAGUAGGGAAUAUUGCACAAUGGAGGAAACUCUGAUGCAGCCAUGCCGCGUGAGUGAAGAAGGCCUUCGGGUUGUAAAGCUCUUUUAACUGUGAAGAUAAUGACGGUAGCAGUAGAAAAAGCCCCGGCUAACUUCGUGCCAGCAGCCGCGGUAAUACGAAGGGGGCAAGCGUUGUUCGGAAUUACUGGGCGUAAAGCGUGCGUAGGCGGUUAUUCAAGUUGGAAGUGAAAUCCCAGGGCUCAACCCUGGAACUGCUUUCAAAACUGUUUAACUAGAAUCUCGGAGAGGAUAGCGGAAUUUCCAGUGUAGAGGUGAAAUUCGUAGAUAUUGGAAGGAACAUCAGUGGCGUAGGCGGCUAUCUGGACGAGUAUUGACGCUAAGGCACGAAAGUGUGGGGAGCAAACAGGAUUAGAUACCCUGGUAGUCCACACCGUAAACGAUGUGUGCUAGUUGUCAGGCAGUUUACUGUUUGGUGACGCAGCUAACGCAUUAAGCACACCGCCUGGGGAGUACGGCCGCAAGGUUAAAACUCAAAGGAAUUGACGGGGACCCGCACAAGCGGUGGAGCAUGU